UACGUAGGGUGCAAGCGUUGUCCGGAAUUAUUGGGCGGAAAGAGCUCGUAGGCGGUUUGGCGCGUCUGCUGUGAAAACUCAGGGCUUAACCCUGAGCCUGCAGUGGGUACGGGCAGACUAGAGUGUGGUAGGGGAGAUCGGAAUUCCUGGUGUAGCGGUGGAAUGCGCAGAUAUCAGGAGGAACACCGGUGGCGAAGGCGGUUCUCUGGGCCUGUACUGACGCUGAGGAACGAAAGCGUGGGGAGCGAACAGG
rnacentral:rRNA from 1 species